CAUUUUGUCUGGGCAGCGGUGGCCGCAGCUCUAGCGCAUUUUAUGUUUCUGGCAAGAUGAGAGCGGCGUCUUCGUCCCGUAGCUUCAUCUUAGCGCGGCACCCAUUCAGCGUUCCCUGCAGGACAGCACCUGGGGAAGGUCGGAGGAGCCGCGGACCUUUCAGAAGUUGGUUUGAAGAAAACAGGACCUCUCCGUGACAAAUAUCCCCACGUAUUACUGAGAGUAAGCCUCAUUUUGUGGAAAAAUGAAGGAAGGUGUUCCACUUUUAAAAGACCUGGAUCUGCUAUCUGUUGAAAAUUCUGUUUCUGUUAUUUUUCAGGUCCCUUUAUGAAUGAUGGAAAUAAAAGGCAAAUGGAUAAUCUAAUCAGAUAAGUGAUAUUUUUUU